rnacentral:lncRNA from 1 species
CUACACCAGGUCUCAACUCAGAAAGAAUUCCAACUUUCUAACUAGUGCCAAGGGCAGGACCCGGAGCCGGAAGUGCUUGCCUUUUCCCUGUCAGGACCCAGAGGUUACCUCCCAUCAGCCCCGGCGCUCUCUCAUCCCUUCUCUCUUCCUUGGUGCUUCUUUUUCCUGCUCGGCAUCAUGGCUGCCCUCAGAUCCCUUGUGAAGCCCAAGAUCGUCAAAAAGAGAACCAAGAAAUUCAUCCGGCACCAGUCAGACCGAUAUGUCAAAAUCAAGCGUAACUGGUGGAAACCCAGAGGCAUUGACAACAGGGUUCAUAGAAGGUUCAAGGGCCAGGUCUUGAUAUGAUGCCCAGCAUUGGUUAUAGGAGCAAAAAAAAAAAAAAAAAAAAAAAACCAGAAAGCACGUGCUGCCCAGUGGCUUCCGGAAGUUCCUGGUCCACAAUGUCAAGGAGCUGAGAGUGCUGCUGAUAUGCAACAAGUGAGUUGGGUCCAUCUCUGG